rnacentral:rRNA from 1 species
GAUGAACGCUGGCGGCGUGCCUAAUACAUGCAAGUAGAACGCUGAAGGAGGAGCUUGCUCUUCUGGAUGAGUUGCGAACGGGUGAGUAACGCGUAGGUAACCUGCCUGGUAGCGGGGGAUAACUAUUGGAAACGAUAGCUAAUACCGCAUGACAACAGUUAUUGCAUGAUAACUGUUUAAAAGGGGCAACUGCUCCACUACCAGAUGGACCUGCGUUGUAUUAGCUAGUUGGUGAGGUAACGGCUCACCAAGGCGACGAUACAUAGCCGACCUGAGAGGGUGAUCGGCCACACUGGGACUGAGACACGGCCCAGACUACUACGGGAGGCAGCAGUAGGGAAUCUUCGGCAAUGGACGGAAGUCUGACCGAGCAACGCCGCGUGAGUGAAGAAGGUUUUCGGAUAGUAAAGCUCUGUUGUAAGAGAAGAACGAGUGUGAGAGUGGAAAGUUCACACUGUGACGGUAUCUUACCAGAAAGGGACGGCUAACUACGUG